rnacentral:rRNA from 1 species
CACGUAGGGGGCGAGCGUUGUCCGGAAUCAUUGGGCGUAAAGAGCUCGUAGGCGGCUCAGUAAGUCGGGUGUGAAACCCCCAGGCUCAACCUGGGGACGCGACCCGAUACUGCUGUGGCUAGAGUCCAGUAGGGGAGUGUGGAAUUCCCGGUGUAGCGGUGAAAUGCGCAGAUAUCGGGAGGAACACCAGCGGCGAAGGCGGCACUCUGGGCUGGAACUGACGCUGAGGAGCGAAAGCGUGGGUAGCAAACAGG